CCCUUAGAUGAUUUGGGCUGCACGCGCGCUACACUGACCCUAACAAUGAGCAACUGUCUGGCCUGAGAUGGCUGGGUAGCCUUUUCAACCCAUGUCAUGAUUGGGCUAGAUUUUUGUAAGUCUUGAUCUCUAACGAGGAAUCCCUAGUAUGCGUGAAUCAUCAAUCCAUGCAGAUUAUGUCCCUGCCCUUUGUACACACCGCCCGUCGCUCCUACUGAUUGGGUGAUCCGGUGAGCUGUUCGGCCAUAGCAAUGUUUCUUGAGCAGGGCAAUGGAUGUUUCGCAAACCUUGCCACUUAGAGGAAGGAGAAGUCGUAACA
rnacentral:rRNA from 1 species